rnacentral:tRNA from 1 species
UUAAUUGAAACCAAAAAGAGGUAUAUUACUGUUAAUAAUAAAAUUGAAUUUUUUUUAUUCCAAUUAAG